rnacentral:rRNA from 1 species
AUUGAACGCUGGCGGCAGGCUUAACACAUGCAAGUCGAACGGCGACAGGUAGCUUGCUACUGUUCUUAGCGGCGGACGGGUGAGUAAUGCAUAGGAACCUGCCCAUUAGUGGGGGACAACGUUUCGAAAGGAAUGCUAAUACCGCAUACGACCUACGGGAGAAAGCAGGGGAUCGUCGGACCUUGCGCUACUAGAUGAGCCGAAGUCGGAUUAGCUAGUUGGUGGGGUAAAGGCCCACCAAGGCGACGAUCUGUAGCGGGUGUGAGAGGAUGAUCCGCCACCCUGGGACUGAGACACGGCCCAGAAUCCUACGGGAGGCAGCAGUGGGGAAUAUUGGACAAUGGGCGCCAGCCUGAUCCAGCCAUGCCGCGUGUGUGAAGAAGGCCUUAUGGUUGUAAAGCACUUUAAGCGAGGAGGAGACUACUUUAGUUAAUACCUAGGGAUAGUGGACGUUACUCGCAGAAUAAGCACCGGCUAACUCUGUGCCAGCCGCCGCCGUAACAC